AAUUCAUUUUAGUUCUCGGCAAUAUACUCACAAAUAUUCCCGGACUACAACAUCUGGGUGGAAAUUCUUGCGAUAAAUGAUACACAAACAACACAACGAAGACGAAGAGAAUCGAAAAGGCCCAGUAUUUCCGUUGAGCAUGUUCUUCACAUAAACACACCAGUAAACAGAUCCGAACUCGCUUUGGCAUGGAAAACGCCAGUUGAUACGUUAAGGAAUGUAACUACAAACCAAACAACUGAUUUCCUCUACGAGCCAAUUGCAACGUUUUCAGAUAACAGAUCACCUUGUAACAUAACUUCGAUGUGUGAUGCUAGUUCGACAACAUGCCAUGACGACUCGAGUAAAGUAGAAUGCACAUGCAAGCCUGGAUUUGUCAAUAAUACUUUAAUCAUAGGAACCGACGUGUUGAAUCCAC